AGUGAACGCUGGCGGUAGGCCUAACACAUGCAAGCCGAACGGCAGCACAGUAAGAGCUUGCUCUUACGGGUGGCGAGUGGCGGACGGGUGAGGAAUACAUCGGAAUCUACUUUUUCGUGGGGGAUAACGUAGGGAAACUUACGCUAAUACCGCAUACGACCUACGGGUGAAAGCAGGGGAUCUUCGGACCUUGCGCGAUUGAAUGAGCCGAUGUCGGAUUAGCUAGUUGGCGGGGUAAAGGCCCACCAAGGCGACGAUCCGUAGCUGGUCUGAGAGGAUGGCCCGCCACACUGGAGCAGGUCCACGUUCCGCACCCCUACGGGAGCCGGCGGUGGGGAAUAUUGGACAAGGGGCGCAGGCCUGAUCCACCCAUCCGGGGGGGGUGAAAAUGCCCUUGGGGUUCUAAAGCCUUUUUUUGGGGAAGAAAAAGCAGCGGUUUAAUCCCCGCCUUUCCUGACGGUACCCAAAGAAAAAGCCCCGGCUAACUCCGUG
rnacentral:rRNA from 1 species